rnacentral:rRNA from 1 species
GAUGAACGCUGGCGGCGUGCUUAACACAUGCAAGUCGAACGAGAAGUGAAGACGGAAACCUUCGGGCGGAAGGCUUCAUUUCGAGUGGCGGACGGGUGAGUAACGCGUGGGUAACCUGCCUCAUCCAGGGGGAUAACAGUUUGAAACGACUGUUAAUACCGCAUAAGACCACAGCAUCGCAUGGUGCGGGGGUAAAAACUCCGGUGGUAUGAGAUGGACCCGCGUUCGAUUAGCCAGUUGGCGGGGUAACGGCCCACCAAAGCGACGAUCGAUAGCCGAUCUGAGAGGAUGACCGGCCACAUUGGGACUGAGACACGGCCCAAACUCCUACGGGAGGCAGCAGUGGGGAAUAUUGCACAAUGGGGGAAACCCUGAUGCAGCGACGCCGCGUGAGUGAAGAAGUAUUUCGGUAUGUAAAGCUCUAUCAGCAGGGAAGAAAAUGACGGUACCUGAGUAAGAAGCCCCGGCUAACUACGUG